rnacentral:rRNA from 1 species
AUGAACGCUGGCGGCGUGCCUAAUACAUGCAAGUCGAGCGAACGGACGAGAGGCUUGCUUCUCUGAUGUUAGCGGCGGACGGGUGAGUAACACGUGGAUAACCUACCUAUAAGACUGGGAUAACUUCGGGAAACCGGAGCUAAUACCGGAUAAUAUUUUGAACCGCAUGGUUCAAAAGUGAAAGACGGUCUUGCUGUCACUUAUAGAUGGAUCCGCGCUGCAUUAGCUAGUUGGUAAGGUAACGGCUUACCAAGGCAACGAUGCAUAGCCGACCUGAGAGGGUGAUCGGCCACACUGGAACUGAGACACGGUCCAGACUCCUACGGGAGGCAGCAGUAGGGAAUCUUCCGCAAUGGGCGAAAGCCUGACGGAGCAACGCCGCGUGAGUGAUGAAGGUCUUCGGAUCGUAAAACUCUGUUAUUAGGGAAGAACAUAUGUGUAAGUAACUGUGCACAUCUUGACGGUACCUAAUCAGAAAGCCACGGCUAACUACGUG